GGCAGCCUGGUGUGCUGGUAGAAACCCACAGUUUAAACUAUCUCUCUUUUAGUGUUUGGAAAAGACAGAGUUUUGUUUAGUUUUUAUUGAGGAUUCAAGGUUGUUUAAGAAGAAUAACACUGGCAAGAGACACUGAGAAUAGAGCUGACUCACCUAAGGCUACAGGUUCUACUUAUCACUUCAGACAUGACAGAGCACUCAGGCUAGCAGUACUUGAAGGAAGAGAAAUACUGGAUUUGAAGAUCAUAACCCUGUCACAUUACAGUUCAUGCCCGAGUGCCUGCCAUUCUCCAUCUGCAGUAUUGGGAAUAAUAGCACGUGCACUUCAGAAGGCAUAUGAUGAAGUUCAAAGAUACCACAGCAAAGAAGGCCAUACAUGGAAGCAUCCAAAAUCAAUAAAGUGAAGUGGUGGCAGGGAGACAUGGUCUAGAUAUGAUCUAGGAUGAAAAAGCUAACCUAUUAAUGCCUUGUAUAUGGAAGUGGCAGCAGAACUUCUUCUCAUGAAAUUCCGAAUACCUCCUGACUCAACUGGGCCUGGGUAUCCACACCGCAGAGCAGCAGAACACUAUUUGUAAGUCCCUGAAUCAUUUGGGUAUUUAUGUGAAGCAAACAAUAUCCUGAAGGUCACCAGUAAG